UUGUCUCAAAGAUUAAGCCAUGCAUGUCUCAGUACAAGCCAAAUUAAGGUGAAACCGCGAAAGGCUCAUUAAAUCAGUUAUGGUUCCUUAGAUCGUACCCACAUUUACUUGGAUAACUGUGGUAAUUCUAGAGCUAAUACAUGCAAACAGAGCUCCGACUGGAGACGGAAGGAGCGCUUUUAUUAGAUCAAAACCAAUCGGUGGCGGUUUAAUCCGUCAUCGUACAAUUUGGUGACUCUGAAUAACUUUAUGCUGAUCGCACGGUCUCGCACCGGCGACGCAUCUUUCAAAUGUCUGCCUUAUCAACUGUCGAUGGUAGGUUCUGCGCCUACCAUGGUUGUAACGGGUAACGGGGAAUCAGGGUUCGAUUCCGGAGAGGGAGCCUGAGAAACGGCUACCACAUCCAAGGAAGGCAGCAGGCGCGCAAAUUACCCACUCCCGGCACGGGGAGGUAGUGACGAAAAAUAACGAUACGGGACUCAUCCGAGGCCCCGUAAUCGGAAUGAGUACACUCUAAACCCUUUAACGAGGAUCAAUUGGAGGGCAAGUCUGGUGCCAGCAGCCGCGGUAAUUCCAGCUCCAAUAGCGUAUAUUAAAGUUGUUGCGGUUAAAAAGCUCGUAGUCGAAUCUGUGUCCCGCGCCGCCGGUUCAUCGUUCGCGGUGUUAACUGGCGUGCCGCGGGACGUCCUGCCGGUGGGCUUAGCUCGCAAGGGCGGCCCAACUCAAUCCCGCCGCGGUGCUCUUCAUUGAGUGUCGAGGUGGGCCGGCACGUUUACUUUGAACAAAUUAGAGUGCUUAAAGCAGGCUAAAACUUUGCCUGAAUACUGUGUGCAUGGAAUAAUGGAAUAGGACCUCGGUUCUAUUUUGUUGGUUUUCGGAACCCCGAGGUAAUGAUUAAUAGGAACGGAUGGGGGCAUUCGUAUUGCGACGUUAGAGGUGAAAUUCUUGGAUCGUCGCAAGACGGACAGAAGCGAAAGCAUUUGCCAAAAACGCUUUCAUUGAUCAAGAACGAAAGUUAGAGGUUCGAAGGCGAUCAGAUACCGCCCUAGUUCUAACCAUAAACGAUGCCAGCUAGCGAUCCGCCGACGUUCCUCCGAUGACUCGGCGGGCAGCUUCCGGGAAACCAAAGCUUUUGGGUUCCGGGGGAAGUAUGGUUGCAAAGCUGAAACUUAAAGGAAUUGACGGAAGGGCACCACCAGGAGUGGAGCCUGCGGCUUAAUU
rnacentral:rRNA from 2 species